AACGAACGCUGGCGGCAGGCCUCAAACAUGCAAGUCUAGGGGGUGUAGCAAUACAUCACCGGCGGACGGGUGCGUAACGCGUGGGAAUAUACCUAUCGAUUCGGAACAACUGAGGGAAACUUCAGCUAAUACCGAAUACAUCCUAACGGAGAAAGAUUUAUCGUCGAUAGAUUAGCCCGCGUUCGAUUAGCUAGUUGGUGGGGUAACGGCCCACCAAGGCGACGAUCGAUAGCUGUUCUGAGAGGAAGAUCAGCCACACUGGGACUGAGACACGGCCCAGACUCCUACGGGAGGCAGCAGUUGGGAAUCUUGGACAAUGGGGGAAACCCUGAUCCAGCCAUGCCGCGUGAGUGAUGAAGGCCUUCGGGUUGUAAAACUCUUUCGCGCACGACGAUAAUGACGGUAGUGCGAGAAGAAGCUCCGGCUAACUUCGUGCCAGCAGCCGCGGUAAU
rnacentral:rRNA from 1 species